rnacentral:tRNA from 1 species
GGGCUAGUAGCUUAGAUUGGUCUAAAGCGUCUGGCUCUUAACCAGAAGACCGAGAGUUCAAAUCUCUCCUAGCCCG